GAGGGGCAAGCCUAAUAAUGCAAGUCGAGCGAAUGGAUUAAGAGCUUGCUCUUAUGAAGUUAGCGGCGGACGGGUGAGUAACACGUGGGUAACCUGCCCAUAAGACUGGGAUAACUCCGGGAAACCGGGGCUAAUACCGGAUAACAUUUUGAACUGCAUGGUUCGAAAUUGAAAGGCGGCUUCGGCUGUCACUUAUGGAUGGACCCGCGUCGCAUUAGCUAGUUGGUGAGGUAACGGCUCACCAAGGCAACGAUGCGUAGCCGACCUGAGAGGGUGAUCGGCCACACUGGGACUGAGACACGGCCCAGACUCCUACGGGAGGCAGCAGUAGGGAAUCUUCCGCAAUGGACGAAAGUCUGACGGAGCAACGCCGCGUGAGUGAUGAAGGCUUUCGGGUCGUAAAACUCUGUUGUUAGGGAAGAACAAGUGCUAGUUGAAUAAGCUGGCACCUUGACGGUACCUAACCAGAAAGCCACGGCUAACUACGUGCCAGCAGCCGCGGUAAUACGUAGGUGGCAAGCGUUAUCCGGAAUUAUUGGGCGUAAAGCGCGCGCAGGUGGUUUCUUAAGUCUGAUGUGAAAGCCCACGGCUCAACCGUGGAGGGUCAUUGGAAACUGGGAGACUUGAGUGCAGAAGAGGAAAGUGGAAUUCCAUGUGUAGCGGUGAAAUGCGUAGAGAUAUGGAGGAACACCAGUGGCGAAGGCUACUUUCUGCUCUGUAACUGACACUGUAGCGUCGAAAG
rnacentral:rRNA from 1 species